AUGAAGAGAGCGGGUUGGAGUCGGGCCCCCGUGGGCUUUGCGAAACUUAAUGUUGAUGCUUCGUUUGAUCAUGACCUUCUUAAGAUAACGACCGGAGCGGUUCUCAGGGAUGACAAAGGAAAUUUUAUUGCAGGGGUCUGCUCGAGAAUUGACUGGUGUGCGGACGUUCUCACGGCGGAAGCUCUAGCGCUUAGGUUUGGGCUAUCCCUGGCGCAAAGGGCGGGGUGUAAUCGACUUGUCAUCAAUUCUGAUAACUUGGAGGUCACUGAGACUAUGAACAAUGGAUGACGGUCGGCGGGAGUGGCGGCGGCAAUUUUUGAUGAUUGCUAUUCUAUUGCUUGUGAUUUUUCUAUGUCCAAGUUUGAACAUUGUAAUGGAGAGGCAAAUAAAGUAACUCAUGAACUUGCCAGGUUAGCUAGAUUUUCUGGUACUGUUGAUUGGUUUGAGGAGCCAUUGAUUGAAAUUGUACCCUUUCUAUUAAAUGAUGUAUCCGUUAUUUCGAUUGAAUAA
rnacentral:rRNA from 1 species